UGAAAGGGUGGUCAGGCACUGGAAUGGGCUGCCCAGAGAGGUAGUGGAGUCACUCAGCCUGUUGAUGUUUAAAGAGUUGUGUUGAGGGACAUGGUUUAGCAAGAACCAUUGGUGAAGGGCGAAUGGUUGGACUGGAUGAUCCUGUGGGUCUUUUCCAACCUUAGCGAUUCUAUGAUUCUAUGAUAAAUGCAUAUUUAACCCCGCUAUUUCUCUAUGCUGUAAAGAAUCAAGACCCAGGCAAAACAGUUCCUAUAAAAUUAGAUCCCAAAAACUCUUUUCGCAGUGUACACAGAGCAGCUCAUAGCAAAAUUAUGUAGACAACUAGAAGUUUUCUCCACACAUGAAAAUGGGAGAUUAAACUGGAUUUUUUUGAAAAGAAUCAUGAAUGGCAGAUCUGGUAGUCACAAAAGGUCACAGAUUAAAAAAGACGUGGAGUUGGAAUAUACAUGAGUUUAAAGUAAUGUCGGUGUUUUAAUAAGAGCUGCUAUCCAGUGUCAGGACAGAAAGCCGAACAGCUGUGACAGUGGCCAGUGAGGCAUGUCUUAGGAAGAGCAAUGUCAAUGGCAACGUCUUUGAUGUGUGGUCACGGUUACUGUAUAUCUGAGUAGCUGAUGAAACUUUGGGGUAAAAAAAAUGGGUAUGAGAAUGCCUUCCUAAGGUUAGAAUAGACAUGUAAAAUUCUCUAAGACUAAAUCCCUGCAUUUUUUCCUAUCCUUUAGCAUUACAAACUUGACAAAAGUACAACCCACAGGUGAGAAAACUCUAAAGCUAUACAUUAUGCUUACAACUUAUUUCAAUUAAAGGUAUAAAAUGAUAUUAAAUUUUUGCCUCCCUUGUUUAGCAAAUACACAGUUCUGACGUCUGAAUUAUAUAGUGUGCUGCUGUCAUGUCAUUAGUUUAUUCAGCACAAAUGUGCACGACACAUGUCAGACAAAGAGACCACAUACAAUUUUCAAAAAGUUCAAGAGUUCAAAGAGUUCAAAGAAAAUAUUUGCUAACAUUGUGGAUGGACAGCUGACCCAGGGAGGUCAUGUUUAUCUUUUCCUGGGUCACUGUGAGCAAAACAGCUGCUAUAGAUCACUGUCGCACACAAAACAACGAUGGGAGUAAGCGAAAGGAAUGCAGAGCUGUGAUAGAGACCUCUGUGCCAGGUGCCAUGAGACAAGCUGCAAGCAACUGCUAGUUAUGAGAACCGUGCCUUGUUGUACUUAGCACGUUAUUUGUACUGCUCUAUAUAAAUGGCUGUGUGCAGUUAUUAAAUGGCUUUGGCUACUAGUAAUCAUACUGGUGUGUUGCCUCAUCCAUGCUGCUCCUCGGCUGAAUAUUGCUCUCCAGGGAACCUUGGACAAGUUGCUUGGCGACACUAACAUGAAGGCUUCCUGAGCGGGAAACACUGAGAUACAACACUGACAAGUGGCAUCAGCAGAAACACAGACAGAUGACAGAAGCUGCAUCCUGUAGUCUGAGGGGAAUGAAGACUGCAAGGCCUUGGGACGAUUGGUGAAAGACUCUGGGGUGCAAGCUAUUUUCUCUUCCCUCCUUCCAUUUUCAGAUUCUGAGUAAGGUCCACUUGUACCAAACAAAAUCUCAAGGACUGGAAGAUAUUCAGACUCUGCAAGCAAGGUGACAUUGGCUGAUUAAUUUAUUUGAUUUGUACCACAGUGGAAAAGUAGUGUAUCUCUUUCAUCUUGAUGAAAUAGGUGAAGAAAAUGCAUGUUUUAAGUGACUGUUUGGUACUCUCCUGUAAAAUGUGCACUGAGAUAAUUAAGAUACACAUGAAUAGAAUGCAAAUAUCAUACUAACUGUGGUGUCAGACAACCUAUCACCUAAGUCCUUAUCAGCACCUGAGGAAUGGAAAGCAGCAAAGACAAUCCACCCUUUGAGAAGGAAUCCAAGUUACUUUUCCUUCAUGAACCCACGCUGCCUGUGAGCAGUGAUGACAUUGUUUUUCAGCGUAAUUUUCUCCAUCAUUUUUGCAGGUGGGAUUGACAGGUCCAUAAUUACCAGGGUCUUCUCCAUUGCUCUUCUUGAAAAUAGAAGCAAUGUUUUCCAACUUUCACUCAAGUGGGACCUCUUCAGAUUUCUAAGACCACUGAAAAAUAAUGUUGGAUUCAAAUUUGUCUUACCAAGAAAUUUGUGUCAUUUCUAAUAGUUUCCUGUAAACCUUUUUCAGGUUCAGAAAGACAAGUAAUGUUAAAUCUAGGAAAAAAAAAAAAAAAAAAAAAAAGCAAUCAAAACUGAGAACAUAUCAGAAAACAUAGUACAUCACUGGUGUUCCCAUCUUGAAUACUGAAUGAAGUUCUGAUAAAAUCAACUUAAAGAGAAGUACAGAACUAGAAAACAUGUAGAAAAAGAAUGAGGAAGAUGAUCAGAAGUAAGGAACAGACUCCACCUGAAAGAAUAAACAGCCUAUCACUUUAGGUUUGUAAAUCUUGGAAGAGAUUCACUAGUUUGCAUGAUACAAAAAGUACUGUGUGCGCUUUUCAGUAUGCUUCCUUCUGCUCUUAACUCUUAAGUUAUUAUUACUAAGAGAUGGAAAGCACCACUGAAUAUUUCCACUGUUGCUCUCAACUAUAUCUACUGCACACUGAUGUUCACUGUAGAGUAGUUGUGUAAACUCUUCAAAAGAUUAUUCAUACUAAUAUUGCAAAAACAAGCACUUGCAAGUUAUGAUUGAGGAUGCCUUUACAAUAAAGUUUCUGCCCUCUUGUACAUGCAUACUCUAUACCUCUUUUUCCAAACACCUCCUAUCUCAUCAUUGCUUAGGGUGGCUGACACUCCCCAGGUGAGCUACUUAGUCAAUGUUAUGUUCUAUCACCAUAAUUCAGUGACGACACAGUGUAGUUCUUUUGCACUAUGCCAUCGAGCUCAAGCUGUGAACGCAGAAUUAUUCUUUUCCCAUGGGCAUUGUGACUUGAUUUUCCCCCAAGUUCUCUCUUUGACUUUUCAAUUAAGUCUGAAAAUUCUGUAAGGGAAUACAGUAGAUGAAGGGAGUCUCUGGAUUUUUUACUUCGUUUUCCAGCUUUCACAAGAAAAAAGUCAUAUUACCACUUUCAUCUGUUCUAUUUUGAAUUGCUAUGACUUUUCCUGGAAGCGGAAUCUGAUUACUCCUAUAAUUCAGAACUUUUUUCCUAAGUUAUUAAUGGCUAGUUUGUAUGCACUCUUCCUUAGCAAAAAUGUGUGCUUUUUAUUAACUAUCUCCCUGUCUCACAGUGUUUCACUUCACCCAUCAUGUCUCCCCCCUCUAACAUUCUGGAUAUGCACGGGUUGUAGUUUUCUCCUUCCUCCUCCCAGCCCUCAUUUUAUAAAGCUUAUCAAGCCAGGCUUGCCUCGUGUCUUCCCUUUAGACAAGUACUUUUUUCCUCUGACCAUCCUAGUAAUAAGCCAAUGAAGCAUGCUGAGUUAACUUUCCGGAAGACGGGUGGCCAGAGCUGUAUGCAGUAUGGUAGGUGAUGUCAUAAAAAAGUAGUUAAAAUGUGUCAUUAAUGCUGCUCUAUUUCUUCAAGUGGUGAUUGACUUUUUUAUUGAUACACGACUUGAUCAUCUUAACUAAUAAUUUUCUAUGUGGGAGCCAUGACUAUCUUGGAUUCCUUUUUCUUCUUACGAGUAAAAGUAGAAAUUACUUUUAUUCUAAGUAAAAGUAGUUGAGAGUAUCCCAAAAUAUUUCAUAAUGUCAUUAAUAUAAAAGCUGAAUAACUUAUACCACUUCUCUUUGAAAGUCAAACAACUUUUAUGUAAAAAUAGACAAAAAAGAACAUAUAUUUUUUACUAUAUCUUCUCAAUUUUCAUAACCACAGUGAGUUCAUUGACUUAUAUCAUGGGUGUCCAACAUUUUGUCUUGCCUGGGCUGCACUGAAUAAAGAGGAAUUUUCUUGGGCCAAAUACAUAUAAGUUGUUCCAAAAGUAAUGUCUCCCAUUUAUUUCCAUGGAAAUGACAACAGAUACAAAGAGCAAGAUAAUACUGUUUGAUAGAGCAAGCUCUGCUGCAGAACACUCUUUUUCAGUGCAGUCAACACCAUCAGCCAUUCAUUUUUGCCACCAGUGAACAAGAGCCUGCAUGGUGCAUCCAUAAAAAUCUGCGCCAGAGGAGUGACCCACUGUUGCCACUGCUGAAAUGCACCAUCUACCUCCUCACUGUGCUCACACCCACUGUUUAGUCCUCAUAAACAUUCAACAAGUAUCAGUGAAUGCCAGUGGGUGCAAUUUUUUCCACAUGGAGAAAUUCAGUGGCAUAUCUUUGCUCCAUAUGCACUUCCAUGUCAGACAUCACUUUUUCCGACUGCCCCUCUGCUGCCAUCUAUCACACAACAUCAAAAUGCAAUGGGAUAUUGGUGGUAAGGUUCACCUUCUGCUGCCACGACACCAACAUCUGCCUCUGAUGUCACGGGCCAACGUAUUGGAGGCAUUGGAGGCAUUACUUUCAGAGGAGCCCCAGUAAGAUAUGUCAUAUAAUUAAUAUGCAAGCAACAAAAACAUUAAACUAGUGGGAUAUUUGACCUUGAUUUUGUGAAACUAACGCAUCAGUCUUGUUCAAUGGAAGUGGCUACAAUUCUUAGUGAGGUCUCAGGGUGUUCAUCAGAGAUUUCUGAUGAAGAAUUACCCUUCCUGUGCUUCAUCCUUGACAAUUGCUCACAAAUGUACAUACUGCCAAAUAAGUGAUGAUAUGACUAAGGUAUAGUUGUGAAGCAAAGGAUAUUUUUCUCUGGCAAGAGGGGUCUUACAAAAGUUUGGGAAAGAGACAUGAUCAGAUAAUACAGAUCUAUACAUCCCAUCUGAAAAUUUGCAGAUAAUGUAUUUAUAUCAGCUGGAAAUGGUGUUGCAAGUAUAAAUUGAUGAUUGCAUUUUUUAAAAAAAAUUGAAACAUUUAAAUUGAAAAUUUCAAUUGAAAUUGAAAUGAAACUCACUGGAGAAUGUUCCUUUUCAAAGGACACUCCCUUCAGAAAAGACAGAAUGGAAAUCAAAGAUACACAAAUUGCUUUUGUGAUUGUUAUUUAAUUUAGAAGGACACAAGGAUUCUUUGAAGAUGAAAAUGAUUCUCAUUAUGAUUUUAUUACCUAUUUUCAUCUUAAAUAAUUUUCUCUUAUUAGUUGAAAUCAGUAAGGUAAUAAAAGUCAGUCCCAUAAAUCCAGCGUGAGAGAAAGAUCAUAAGCACCUGUUUCUUGAAAAGAUUUAUGUAUAAACUUUGUCUUUCUUCCCCAAAAGCGUGAUGGUGGAUGUGUAAAGGUUCGUAGUUGUGCCUGACAUGUGUGGCACUGUAAAGCAGUAAGUAACAUCACUGUUACUUAUCAUGUUAACAUCAUCCUUACAGAUAAAAGGCAAACACACAGUUAGCCAGGCUUAACCUCUUCAAAAACUGUUACACUUCAUGUACAAAGAGAUCUAUGCUUUUAUUUGCUAUGAUAUUUAAAGGUUUGUUUAAACUUCUGCAUGGUAUCUAGCGAUCUCAUGGAAAUCAGAGCAGACAAACAGAGCACAGACACUCCGGAGGCAGAAGCCAGAGUGGCAUUACAAGCCGAAGUGACAAAUGUCAUAGUUGGUGCAGGACAAUUCUUCUCAUGGUAAAUCAGAAUAAUUUUUUCAUUGCUCACUGUAAUAAGUAAAUAAACAAACAAACAAAUAAAUAAGCAUUUAAUACCAACAAAGAUUAACAUUUCUUAUCUAACUACAAGUGAGCAUACAGAAGGACACCAGGACUGGGAUCAGAACCCACAUCAGGGUCCCCUAACUCCUUCAUAAUUUGCAGGCUGUUUUAAUCAACCCUGUUUAUAACUGUAGCUGCCUUUCUAGUAGAAGAGCUGAGAAUCUGCUGGUUUCCCUGGCAACUAUUAGUAAUGCAAGCAAGCUACAAUGCAGAAAAAAUAAUAUUGUACCCAAUCCUGUAGUCAAUAAUUGCACCAAUUCCCCUCCCAUAUCAAAGGUAAUUUCACAAUAUUUUUUUAUCUCCCAUUUUCAUUGUGGAAGGAAUAGCAGAUAACAACUCUACAGUAACAUCAUUUUCACAACUCUUCUGUUUUCCCAUAUCACUCUUUCUGGAGUUUAACAAAAUGAACCAUUUAAUCCGUGCAGAUUAGCUCUGUAGUGUUACUGGAGGGAUCAGAGAAGGAAGGUUAAACAAAAUGCAGGCAAUUCUCCCUGUCUCUCUUUUUCUAAGGAUGUCCUGCUCCUGUUCUGUAGCAUAUCAAACAUCAAAAGCGGUUUGCAUAACCCACGCUCCAGAAAAGGUGAUUCAGUCUAAUAACUACAGGACUGAAAAGAGAAAUGCAGGACUAAAGUAGUGUUUUCUCACUGUUUAUUCUUCCUAUUUUAACACCAGCUGAUUAUAUUUUCCUCAGAAAUGUCUGAUACCUUGCUUUUCUGCAGUACUGGUUACAGGCUGUCUUUGCUACUUACAUGUAUUCACCUUCUCAACAUGAAUGUCACAUCCAAAAGGGAGAUGACUGUUGAGUUAUAAAAUCUGCGUCAGUUUAUCUUGUUUGGCAGAUACAUGUUUGGCAUUUAUGUGGACCAGUAAUACUUGGUCACAAUGCAAAGCUUUCACCGGAACUCAGAAAUGAGCGAAGAGAGAAUGACUUUGAAAUAUACAAAUGAAAUGAAUGAAUGAUGUGGCUAUCCCAGCUGUGGAAAGCAAGGAAAAUCCCCCAUUUCUGCAAAAUAAAUAGUCAGAGAUCAGUUGAGGGGAACAGGAAAGAGUUAAAGAUAAAAAAGUAAACAAGGAUUAAGUCAGUCUGUAGCAGAAAAUGGAAUUUCAGCCCUUUGCUGACUAAUCUGGAGGUAGUGGUAUUUCCAAAAGACUACAUUUAGAGCAAGGAAAGGAGCAGGAUGUGAAAACUAAGUACACUUUCUAGUGGGAAACUAAGCUAUCAGUAAUGUACAGUUCACUAGGAUCUUAUGUGAAUUAUCUACAAUAAUUAUAUAUGUUUCAACUGUUAUCUGUAGAUUUAGACUUCAAUAUUCCUUGUAUCACUUCAAAACUAUGUUUAGAUUUUUGCAGAAUGCAUAAACCAUUCUCUGAUCAAGUUGUUAUUAGAGAAAAAAAAAAUGGCUCUCAGGCCAAAGCCAAAUGAAUACUCUAACUUAUUUAAAUCCCUGCAUCUUCACCCACAGGCUUUUCUGUCUGUGCAAGCUCAUGUCAUUAAUGUAAUUUUAUUUUUGGACUGAUUGGAUGAAGCCAGAUGCAGUCAGCAACAGGGUCGGCAACACAUCUGGUUUUUUCAGACGUGUCUAGUGGGUCAAAUACAUGGAGUUUGGAAUAUUUAUAGCAUUUUUAAUAAAAUGCACCAAGAAAUAAUUUGGUGAUAUAACUCAGAAAAUCUAGUUUUCAAAAGGUAAAUCCUGAGAAAGCAGAAUCAGAUCCUGGAAGAAACAGAUUGUACCAAACUGACUUUCUGCGUACAAAAACACAAUCAAAUUCUGCAAGCAUGUGUGACUUUCAGAAUGGAUAUUUGCUCUGUCUCUGCUUUUAGUGUCAUGUAUCUACAAUGCACUGCAGAAAUGCUUGAGUCAUUUACAAACAAGCAAGCUUUGAAACUCAGUCCAGGAUAAAUACAGUAACGAGGUGCAAAUUUGUACAGUCAGCACAAAAACACUGCUUCCCUGUGCUGGUGUCAAUGUAAGCCACUCUUCCGUGUCAUGUGAAAUUACUCAGACUCUCAACAAACUCUCAAUGUGGGGUUAAACCAUGCAAUGUGAGCCUAUGUUACAUGGAAAUUCUUACGGGAUGUUGCACUCUUUUCCUUAAACAGAAAAAAUUGCAUACUUCUUUGCACUGUUCAUUUUCAAAUUGUAAUGAUUAUUACAAUAAAAAAACAUAAAUUCUAAUUAGCCUCAUUACAUGACACAAACCAGAAUGAAUAUAUUCCACUAGAAACACUUAAAAUAACCAGGAAAUUCAUUCAGAAAAAAAAAUAUAAACAGAAAAUUCUCAAAGAAAUGGUAUUUAAUAGGGAAUAAACACAUGAAUAAAAACAGUGCUCCCAUUGAUCAAGUUUUUUCUGGAGAUUGUGCUGCAUUCAGUACACAGAUCUUAAAAUUUUCAGAUUAUGUACUAAAUUUGAUGUUUGAUCUUUUCCAAGAUGAAAUAAAAACAUAAAACAUAUCUAGAUGAUUUACCAGGCAGACUUGAAGCUAGACAUCUACAUUCUCGAGGGUCAAAAGUAGUUACACUUAACUAAAGUUUUGUCUUCGCUGCCAUUCAAAAUAAAAAAUUACUCACUCUCAAAUUGACUUGGAUUUAAUGUCUGAGGAUUUCUAGUUUGGAACACUGGCACGUAUUAUACACUUUCACCAUACAAGUACCAUAUCAAGUACUUAUGGGCAUCACAGUGCAAUCAAUUCUGCAGAACAUACAUCUUUAUAAUGUCAAGCAGGUCUCAUAUCUUCCAUCCUAUCCACACUUUCUUAAAAGAGAUAUGUUCUCCUGCCUCAUAAUAAAUUAAUACACACAGCUUCAAUGACAAAUGAGACAACCAGCAUGAAACUUUAUUAGAGUGAAAAGUAUUAAGAUUAAAUGAGAGAUAAUGGUGGUCACUAAAGUUGACUGAGCAGUGUUGCAGAGGUUUAACAACAGAAAUAGGAUAAUUUCCUACAAAGAGCAUAAAAUAAAAAUCCUCAUGUCAUUAUCAAUUCUGAAUCUAUUUAUAUUCUAACUGAUAAAUUUUUUAUUAGAGUAAUUCCUGUAAGUGUUACUGACUAAAAGAAAGUAUUCAAGGCAGUAAAUAAAGAUCUAUGUGGCUAGAUAUUCAUAAACAGCAACAGUCUUAGUGAAAAUCAUGGAAUCAUGGAUUCGCAAAAUUGUUCAAGCAGGAAGGGAACUCAGUUCAUCUGGUACAGCCUUUCAUGGUUAAGGUUGCCCAGGACAUGCUUGUAUAACACCUUGCCUAACCAAAUGUCUCAAGUGUCGAAAAUGAAGGUCUUCAACUAAAACACUUACUCUUGAUCAUCAGGGUUUGAUUGCCUUCUAUAAAUGACAAUUUCAGUAAUCGCAGAAUGACAGAAUGGCCUGGGUUGGAAGGCAUCUUUAAGAUCCACUAGUUCCCGCCCUGCCCCCCACUAUAGGCAGGGGCAUCUCCCACUAGACCAGGUUGCUCAAAGCCCCAUCCAGCCUGGCCUUGAACGCCUCCACGGUGGGGGCAUCCGCAACCUCUCUGGGCAUCCUGUUCUAGUGUCACAUCACCCUCAUCACCCCCCCUAAUAUUUAGUUGAAAUCUACCCUCUUCAAGUUUAAAGCCAUUUCCUCUUGUCCUGCUGCUACAUGCCCUUACAAAAAUUCCCUCCUCAGCUUUCCUGUAGGACCCCUUCAGGUAUUGGAAGGCUAAGAUCCCCCCCAGAGCCUUUUCUUCUCCAGACUGAAGAUCCCUACUCUCUCAGCCUGUCCUCAUCGGGGAGGUGCUCCAGCCCUCUGAUCAUCUUUGUGGGCCUCCUCUGGACUUGCUCCAGCACACUGUGGUCUUUCUUGUUUUUCAUCAGUCAGCUGACAUGAAGAACAGUGUCAAAUCGUUUACACAAGUCCAGGUUUCUGACAUCAGUUGCUCUUCCGUUAUCCACUUAUACCAUAAUGCCAUCACAAAAGCCAACCAAGUUUGUCAGAUACAAUUUGUCCUUGGUGAAGCCAUGUUGAUUGCCACCAAUCAUCUCAUCUUUAUUUUCCAUGUGCCUUAGUAAGUCCUUCAAGAGGAUUUUCUCCACAAUCUUGCCAGACACAGAGAUGAGACUGACUGACUUGUAGUUUGCUGAAUCUUCUUGAAAAAAGGAGCUAUUUUUUCCUUUUUCCAGCCAGUGGGAACUUAACCAGCCUGCCAUGACCUUUCAAAUAUGAUGGAUACAUCCCUUUCCAGACUAGUGAUGAACUUCACAAUACCAGUUUAAGCUAAGCAUAAGAGAAUUGUCCCUCUUUGUCCACACUGUUGAUGUUCAAAAAGACGGCUAUUGCUCUCAGCAGCACAAAUAAUGAAGUAAAGUGCUUGUUAAAUAACAGAGAGUACUUCAUCCAGAGCUAACUUCCACAUGAACCUGGGCACAGUAGUGGGAUGGACUUGUCUAACAGGGCCAUUGGGAAGGUAUCAAAGUAUGCAAGUGGCUCUAAAAGUAAUGUCUUCUAUUUAUUUCCAUGGACACUACAACAGAUACAACGAGCAUAAUAACACCACUUGAGAGAGCAACUUCUCAGCUGCAAAACUCACUUUUUCAACAUAGUCACCACUAUUAACUAUGCAUUUUCACCACUGAUGAACAAGAACUUGCAUGCUGCGCUUGUCAAAAUCUGCACCAACACAGGUGCCCCACUCUUGUUGUCGCCACUACUGAAAUGCACCACCCUCUGCCUCACUGUGCUCACAUCCGCUGUCUCCAUAUAUAUUUGGUAAGCCAUCUUUUUGCAUGGGGAAAUUCUAUUCCAUCCCACUGCUUCAUACACACUUCCAUGUCAGAUGCCAUUCUGUCAGACUGUCCCUCUGCUGCCAUCUGUGACACAGCAACAAAAUGUAACAGAAUAUUGUCAUUAAGGUUCAGCCUCUACUGCCAUUCCACCCUCAUCUGCCUCUGACAUUGUAGGCAGACAUAAUAAAAUAGAAGGCAUUGCUUUCAGAGCAGCUCUCCUAGCAUGAAGAGGAAGCUGAAGCUCUCACAGAUGGAACAAAAAGAUUGUGGGGGUCUCUAACAGCAAGAACACCCAAGAUCUGAGAUGUACAUUGGGAGGGGUUUGCAGAGAAAUGAAAGUUCUCUCUCUGUCCAAUGUUAUAAAAGGAGACAGAAAGAUAUGUUAUAUUCCUUGCUUUUUGUCCUGAAUUCUUCCAUACUUAGAUUUUAUUUAAUACUGAGUAUCCAUUUGUAGAUAGUUUUUUAACAAAGCUAAUAAAUCAUGAAAUUAAGUUUGAAGCUCUCAGAUAAUUAUACAUUCAUUAGUCAUGAGCCAUUACAGAGUUCAACUGGCAAACAGCCUACUAAAAUCCCAGCUAACUAUUAUACCUAUGAAACUUUCUGGUAGUAUGCUUACUAAAUAUUCACAGUAUUCUGGGGGUUUGCAAUGCAUAUGUCUGAUAAUUAUCAUAAAUAUUUUGAACCGGUAUAACUUAUGAAGCAUAAUUAAAUAUAUAUAUAUGUAUGACUAACAUUUACUUCAAACAUUAUACAUUUUAAAUCUACAUUGGAUUAUUGAUAUAUAAGUAUAGAAAUUUAAUCUUCCAGUUUUCAGUACUAGGAAAGAACAAUAUUUUUAGAAAAAAAUAUUUUUACAAUUAUUUGCAUUAUGCUCAAGACAGAAUUUAGCAAUUUAGAUAAUUAUGAGUACUUUAUUUUUCAUAUGCUGUAAGAUGUGAAACAAGUAAUAAACAAACAAACGAGUAAAUAAAUAAGGUGACAUAUAAACCUCCCUACUAAUUUAUUUAUUAUUGUAAAAAACUUCGUCCUUAUACCCAAACUAAAUCUCCCUUUUAGUUAGACACCAUUUCCCAUGUCCUAUGAAACCAGAACCUGCUAAAGAGUCUGUCCCCUUCUUCCUUGCAGCUCCCCAUUAGGUACUGAAAGGCCACUCACAGGUCACCACAGAACCUUCCCUUCUCCAGGCUGCACAGCCCCAGCUCUCACAGCCUGUUCUCUCAGGGAGGUGUUCCAUCCCUCGGGAUCAUUCUUUUGGGAGCAGAUUCCCUGUCUCACCCUGCUGCCUGUGCUGCUUUGGAUGCACCCAGAAUCUGUUUGGCUUCCUGGUCUGUGAGGGCGCAGAGCUGGCUCAUGUCCAGCUUCCUAUCCAACAGUGCCCCCAGGUCCCUUUCAGCGGGACUGUCCUCUAUCCUUACAUCCCACAGCUUGUAUUGGUACUGAGAGUUGCCAUGACCCAGGUGCCAGACCUUGCACUUGGAUUUGUUUAACGUCAUGAGAUUCUCCUGAGCCCACUGCUUGGCAUGUCUAGGUCCCUCUGGAUGGCAUCCUGUCCCGUGGAUAUUUUGAGUGCACCCCUCAGCUUGGUGUCAUCUGCAAACUUGCUGAGGGUGAACUCUAUUCCAAUGUCAAUGUCAGUGAUGAAGAUGUUAAAGAGUGUCGGCCCCAGCACUGACCCCUGAGGGACACUCCUUGUCACUGUUCUCCAUCCAGACAUUGAGUCAUUGACCACCACUCUCUGGAUUCGAUCCUGCAGCCAUUUCUUCAUCCAUCAAACAGUCCACCCAUCAAAUCCAUAUCUUUCCAAUGUGAAGAGAAGUAUAUUGUAAGGUACCAUGUCAAAGGCCUUACUGAAAUCCAGAUAGACUGUUGAGGGAUGGCUCCACAACUGAGGGGGUCAUGGGUCUCUUGAACAGUUGUACAAGCAGAACAGGCCUAACAAUUGGCAGGAGAUACAGAUGGAAAAGUACUAACUCGUUAUAAUGGCUGUGAGCUCGGGUGCUAUGUGCACAACCCAGGCUAUGAGACCUUGAAACUGUCAAAGCAGGAAGACAAACUGAGGCUUCAGUUAAGAUAAGGGGGCAGCUAGCCUGGGAAGAGAUUAAGACGGUCGAAUGGUAUGAAAACAUGCAUGACCAAUAGUAUUGUUAGGCAGGGGGCUUUUCGCAAUGCUCCAACCAACUACAAGCUGACGCACGUUCGCCACGAUCUAUAUAUGUGUGUAAGUAAUGAAUAAUAAACGGAGACUCUGAUGCACUCAUAUUGGGUCAUGUCAUCACUCUCCACGUGGCUCGGCCAGCGAACGGACUAGAUUCCGGUUUCAAACCCUUGGUGGUCCACAACAAUAGAUGACACUAGUGGCUCUUCCCUUGUGCACUGAUGCAGUGACACCAUCAUGGAAGGACACUGGGUUGGUCAAGCAGGGUUUGCCCUCAGUGAAAGCAUGCUCGUUACCCCAUAUCACCUCCCUAUCUUCCAUGUGCCUUAGCAUAGCUUCCAGGAGGAUCUGCUCCAUGAUCUCCUCUGGCACAAAGGUGAGGAUAACAGGUCAGUAGUUCCCUGGAUCAUCCUUUCUACCUUCUUAAAAAUGGCUGUGACAUCACCUUUUUUUCCAGCCACCAGGCACUUCACCUGCCUGCCAUGGCUUUUCAGAUAUCACUGAGAGUGGUUUGGUGACAAUGUCAGCCAGUUCCCUCAGGACUCUGAGAUGCAUCUCAUCUGGACCUAUAGAGUUGUAGAUGUUCAGGUUCCUCAGGUGGUCAGAAACCUGAUCUUCACUUACAGUGGCAGGGGCAUUGCUUCCUCAGUCUCCUCCUUCCAAAUCAAUUAUUUGAUGGCUGUGUGACAAGCAGUUUUCGCAGAAGACAGAGGCCAAAAAAUAGUUGAAUACCGCAGCCUUCUCCUUAUCUGCUAUUAUCAGCUUGCCUGUGUCACGCACUAUGUGGGGACACACCCUCCUGGACUUUCCUCUUCUGGUCGAGUUACCUGUAGAAGAGCUUCUUAUUCUUCGUUUGCACCCCUUGCCAAGUUUAGUUCAAGUUUUGGUUCUUGGCUUUCCCGAC
ensembl:lncRNA